rnacentral:ncRNA from 2 species
UUGUGUGUAGGAGGAAUUGAUUUUAUUUCAGUGGAAACAAGGAAACACUUGAAAUAAAUUCAAUUUUAA